GAUGAAGAACGUAGCGAAAUGCGAUACUUGGUGUGAAUUGCAGAAUCCCGUGAACCAUCGAGUCUUUGAACGCAAGUUGCGCCCGAAGCCAUCAGGUUGAGGGCACGUCUGCCUGGGCGUCACAUAUCGUUGCCCAAUGCCUAUUGCAGUGCAAUAGGAAUUUCUAGGGCGAAUGAUGGCUUCCCGUGAGCGUUGUUGCCUCGCGGUUGGUUGAAAAUCGAGUCCUUGAUAGGGUGUGCCAUGGUAGAUGGUGGUCGAGUUAGAACGAUACCGAUCAUGUGCAUGCUCCCCAAAAUAUGGCCUCUAUGACCCACACGCGUCUUUUGACGCUCAUGACGAGACCUCAGGUCAGGCGGGGCUACCCGCUGAAUUUAAGCAUAUCAAUAAGCGGAGGA
rnacentral:misc_RNA from 1 species